rnacentral:rRNA from 1 species
UACAGAGGUCUCAAGCGUUGUUCGGAUUCAUUGGACGUAAAGGGUGUGUAGGCGGCUUCGUAAGUUCGGUGUGAAAUCUCCUGGCUUAACUGGGAGGGUGCGCCGAAAACUGCGGAGCUGGAGCGCAGGAGAGGAAAGCAGAAUUCCUGGUGUAGCGGUGAAAUGCGUAGAUAUCAGGAGGAAUACCGGUGGUGAAGGCGGCUUUCUGGACUGCUGCUGACGCUGAUACACGAAAGCGUGGGGAGCAAACAGG